UGAGACACGGCCCAAACUCCUACGGGAGGCAGCAGUGGGGAAUAUUGGACAAUGGGCGCAAGCCUGAUCCAGCAAUGCCAUGUGUGUGAAGAAGGCUCUAGGGUUGUAAAGCACUUUAGUUGGGGAGGAAAGCCUGUAGGUUAAUAGCUUGCAGGAAGGACGUUACCCAAAGAAUAAGGACCGGCUAACUCCGUGCCAGCAGCCGCGGUAAUACGGGGGGUCCGAGCGUUAAUCGGAAUUACUGGGCGUAAAGGGUCUGUAGGUGGUUUGUUAAGUCAGAUGUGAAAGCCCAGGGCUCAACCUUGGAACUGCAUUUGAUACUGGCAAACUAGAGUAUAGUAGAGGAAUGGGGAAUUUCUGGUGUAGCGGUGAAAUGCGUAGAGAUCAGAAGGAACACCAAUGGCGAAGGCAACAUUCUGGACUAAUACUGACACUGAGGGACGAAAGCGUGGGGAACAAACAGGAUUAGAUACCCUGGUAGUCCACGCUGUAAACGAUGAGUACUAGCUGUUGGAUUCGGUGUAAAGGAUCUAGUGGCGUAGCUAACGCGUUAAGUACUCCGCCUGGGGACUACGGCCGCAAGGCUAAAACUCAAAGGAAUUGACGGGGACCCGCACAAGCGGUGGAGCAUGUGGUUUAAUUCGAUGCAACGCGAAGAACCUUACCUGGUCUUGACAUCCUGCGAACUUUCUAGAGAUAGAUUGGUGCCUUCGGGAACGCAGUGACAGGUGCUGCACGGCUGUCGUCAGCUCGUGUUGUGAAAUGUUGGGUUAAGUCCCGCAACGAGCGCAACCC
rnacentral:rRNA from 1 species